GGGUCGAUAGUCUAGUUGGCUAUGACGUCGCCCUUACAAGGCGAAGGUCGGGAGUUCAAAUCUCCCUCGACCCA
rnacentral:tRNA from 1 species